GGGAUCCACUGAAGGCAGCUGGUAAUCUUCAGGUUUUAAAGACAAUUCAAAGUCCGGCAAUGCGGGAGCUGUCUGCAGAAUCCUGUGACCAUUUUUUAGCACUCUGCUUGGAAUAUCUUUUGGAAUCCUGUCACAGAGGUACUUGCUAGUCCCCCAAAGAGGUGGAUUUCUGUACCAACAUAGCGCUAUGUUAGAAGCCAAAACCCAGAAAGAUACAUAUAUCAAAGAGAAAGCUUUCAGAAGUAGAGUACCUACCGCGAAAAAGGAGGUGCCAUAUGGAAGCACUCACAGGCCUUCUUACUUUCUUUCAGAAACUCAUCAGCUGCCAGAAGAGCUGCCUCACCCAUCUCAUUACUUUCUUCUGUUUGUCCCUCUUCAAGGAUUAGACCAUGAAGAUAGUAUGCAGCAGCCUGAAAUGUAUUAUAUAUAAGUCUGCCUCACAUGUUUUUAUUCAUAAGAUCAAGAGGAACGAAUCUCAUAAACAAAAAUUGUACCUUGGCUUCAGCAUAUUUCCAUUCAAUGAAAAGUUUAUGCUUUUCUCCCCAUCCAUUUGCUAGUGGAAGGUCUACUAUGUUUUCUCCAGCCUGCAAAGUAUACCCAAUCCACAUCUGAGAAUUUUUGUAUUCGUACAAUGUGUGAAUAACACUCUUUCAGCAUGUAUAAAUUUUUACCUGAUUCCAGUA